UUUUCCCUAGUGAUUUGUCACCGAGCAAUAAUUGGAUGAUGAGAAUUAUUGUGAUGUAUGGUACUUGGCGUGUGCCUAUUUAAAGUCCCCACUUUAACUCCAAUAUUCAUGUGUACUUGUAAUUGUAUUGCAUCAAUAGGCAUCUCUAUAUGUCUUUUCCCACUAAGAAUGACGACAAGGUGUAAUUGCAAAACUACUUACUCACGGAGGAGACGAGGCUUGCACAUGAAAAAGGGCAAGAGAAAGCUCAAGCUUCCUUUGAUGAGAAAUGCUGAGGCCGCGAAAACGUCGACUCUGCAGAAGCUUAGGCAGCUUCAGAGGCUCAUCGAUCCAAGGUGUGAGGAGAUCAUCAUGAACCCAGAAACGUUGUAUGAGGAAACUGCAAGCCAAAUCUUUCAACUUGAAGCCAAGAUAGAAUUCAGCGAGAGAUCAGGGAGAGAGGGAAGCAAAUCUUUAGUGUAUCUAUAUUUGUAGUACUUGUAUUAUGCUACCGAAGAGAAAGAAAGAAUAAUAUUGUACUUUUAUUUCUCAAUUUGCUAGUGGCUUGUUUGUAAAUAAUGUGACUAGAAUAGUUUCCUACUAGCUAGAUUAGUGACACCUUUAUGAAUUGAUCACUUUGCUCAUCCGGCAGAUUAAUGCUAGGAUUUGUGUGUUCACAAAAAAAAUAAAAUAAGUUGUAAAAAUAAGUGUACUAUAAA